AUUGAACGCUGGCGGCAGGCUUAACACAUGCAAGUCGAGCGGGGGAAGGUAGCUUGCUACCGGACCUAGCGGCGGACGGGUGAGUAAUGCUUAGGAAUCUGCCUAUUAGUGGGGGACAACAUCUCGAAAGGGAUGCUAAUACCGCAUACGUCCUACGGGAGAAAGCAGGGGAUCUUCGGACCUUGCGCUAAUAGAUGAGCCUAAGUCGGAUUAGCUAGUUGGUGGGGUAAAGGCCUACCAAGGCGACGAUCUGUAGCGGGUCUGAGAGGAUGAUCCGCCACACUGGGACUGAGACACGGCCCAGACUCCUACGGGAGGCAGCAGUGGGGAAUAUUGGACAAUGGGGGGAACCCUGAUCCAGCCAUGCCGCGUGUGUGAAGAAGGCCUUAUGGUUGUAAAGCACUUUAAGCGAGGAGGAGGCUACUCUAGUUAAUACCUAGGGAUAGUGGACGUUACUCGCAGAAUAAGCACCGGCUAACUCUGUGCCAGCCGCCGCGGUAA
rnacentral:rRNA from 1 species